rnacentral:rRNA from 1 species
CGGACGGGUGAGUAAUGUCUGGGAAACUGCCUGAUGGAGGGGGAUAACUACUGGAAACGGUAGCUAAUACCGCAUAACGUCGCAAGGCCAAAGAGGGGGACCUUCGGGCCUCUUGCCAUCGGAUGUGCCCAGAUGGGAUUAGCUAGUAGGUGGGGUAACGGCUCACCUAGGCGACGAUCCCUAGCUGGUCUGAGAGGAUGACCAGCCACACUGGAACUGAGGCACGGUCCAG